UUAUCUUCCGCUUGAUUUUGUAU
rnacentral:snRNA from 1 species